AAACAAACUGGUGGUAAAAUAUUCUGGGAGGACAUUUUGGAUUUUUUCCAGUAUGCAUCACGAAUUAUCAACACAAAUUCUCCAUGCCCUGACUGCAACCUUCAGAAGUCCUCUUUGGUCCAUUUCAUAUAAUCAGCAUCCCUUAACUGUCCAAAACUAGUUCAUGGGAAGUCAAAAAAAGGAUGGGAUGUGUGAUAUCUAUCACUGUUCCUGACUGGUGUGGGAGAAGUCUCUCUAGCUGCUAAUUGGGAAACAGUUCUGUGGAAUUUCAAAAGAACUCUCAAUUUCAAACCAUAGUGAUUCCAGAUCCAACAGAAAUAUGAAGACAAGCAGUGGCUCCAAACUGCAACGUUUUACCCUUCUAAAUGCUUGCUACAGACUCUUACUACGAAUUUCAGUCUUGGUUCCAUGAACUGAACCCA